rnacentral:rRNA from 1 species
UGGGUCUAAUACCGGAUAUGACUCCUCAUCGCAUGGUGGGGGGUGGAAAGCUUUUUGAGUGGUUUUGGAUGGACUCGCGGCCUAUCAGCUUGUUGGUGAGGUAAUGGCUCACCAAGGCGACGACGGGUAGCCGGCCUGAGAGGGUGACCGGCCACACUGGGACUGAGACACGGCCCACACUCCUACGGGAGGCAGCAGUGAGGAAUAUUGCACAAUGGGCGCAAGCCUGAUGCAGCGACGCCACGUGAGGAAGGAUGACGGCCUUCGGGUUGUAAACCUCUUUCAGUAGGGAAGAAGCGAAAGUGAACGGUACCUGCAGAAGAAGCGCCGGCUAACUACGUGCCAGCAGCCGCGGUAAUACGUAGGGCGCAAGCGUUAUCCGGAAUUCAUUGGGCGUAAAGAGCUCGUAGGCGGUUUGUCGCGUCUGCCGUGAAAGUCCGGCGGCUCAACUCCGAGAUCUGCGGUGGGUACGGGCAGACUAGAGUGAUGUAGGGGA